GAUCCCAAAAAACGGCCUUGUUUCCCGUCCUACCCGACCCAGAAAUUAGCCUCAACCAAUCAGCCCCAAUUAGGUCACCUAUUCUAUUCUAUUCUAUUCUAUUCUAUUCUAUUCUAUUCUAUUUAAAUAUUCAUAGUAUAUAAAGCACAAGGUGAAGUCAACAUCUGGUCUAAUUUCUAAUAUAAUAUAACAAAGUCUGCCCUCUGGUGGUGUGUGAAGAUGAGCUCCAAGACAUAGCCAUAAAGGUAUGGGAGAUGGGGAAUGGAUGGCAAGGCUUAAAGCAUUUGCCAGCAGUGGGGUUUGGCCAACAAAUGCAGGAAAUAGACCAGCCCAAGACAGAAGAAAUGGCAUGAUCUCUAUCAGAAGAUAAAUGCCCCAUGCAAGCCUGUGUUCAGACCACCCUUUUUGGAGGGUCUGUGGCCUGUGACUGUGGCUUUCAUGCUGCUAAGCCUACACUGCAGCCUCCUACUCCUCCUCCUCCUCCUGUGACCCCACACUCUAUGGCUUCACCAUCAACUUCUGCUGUAUCAGCUACAGCCUCACAAACUUUCUUUAAGUGCCCUCCAUCUUUGUCAAAGUUCACUAAAUCCCAUGUUGGUGGGUCUCUUUUGGAUUCACUGAAGCCCAAUUUGGUGGCCCGGAAAAAAACUAGACUUUCUCCAUCCUCUGUGAUGACCUCUAGACCCUUUCCAUCCUCCGUGAGGAGCCCUAGCAUUGGGCCAACAGACACCUGCGAGACAGUUUCAUCUGAAGAGCCUGCAACCUCUCUGUUGUCAGCUACAGCUGGGGAUGCAGCUUCUUUCUGGUUGUCGAAUGAAAUGAGGAAAACCAUCCCUGUUCAGGACCAAAGAUGAAUCUCCACUACCCUCUUUCGCUCCCGUCAACUACGCCCAGAUUUGAAGCUCUGGUAUGAGCCUCCCGGGCCAGCCCUUAUCUACCACCAGGUACCAACACCUGAUUGUUUUUUUUCUCAUCGGCUCCUGGUGUGGAUGCCCUAAGGUGAUAGAGCAUCUACAAAGUGGAAGGUCAGCAUGUUCUGCCAAACCUGUGGGAAGCAUCUUACAGGUGCUGGAAUCCACAAAAGGGCUCGGAAGGUCCUGGACAUUGAUAGGUCUUACCUGCUGGUGACAGAGACACUGAGGUGCAGUGGGUGCAAUCUCACAUAUGUAUCUCAGACCAUCCGGGAUCAACUUGACCUGCCACACCAAAAGCUGUUGCAGCUUAUCCUGACCCAAAAGUGGGUAAAACAUUCAGUAAAAUGGAAACUGGAGGCAUGAAGAAAAUAAAUUACCUGUAGAUGUAACUACACGUGCAGAAAAUGUGGUCAGUUCCGAAUCAUUGAAACAAGAUACAGCCAAUUUAGAGGGCACAUUUACUGUCCCUCUGCUGAAAGCCUGACAAAAGAGCAGUGGCUGGAAUAAAUAA